GACAGAGGAGGCAAGCGUUGUCCGGACUGACUGGGCGUAAAGCGUCCGCAGGUGGUCGUGCAAGUGCGCUGUGAAAGCGGCCCGCUCAACGGGCCGAGGCCAGCACAAACUGCACAACUCGAGGUCGGGAGAGGUCGGUGGAAUUGCCGGUGUAGUGGUGAAAUGCGUAGAGAUCGGCAGGAACACCCAAGGGGAAGCCAGCCGACUGGCCCGCACCUGACGCUCAGGCGCGACAGCGUGGGGAGCAAACAGG
rnacentral:rRNA from 1 species